ensembl:misc_RNA Metazoa_SRP Metazoan signal recognition particle RNA
GUUGGAAGAGACCCUUAGAACAGCUGGUCAUUAUGCCGAUGGGGUGUCCGCACUAAGUUCGGCAUCAAUAUGGUGACCUGGGAGUGGGGGACCACCAGGUUGCCUAAGGAUGGGUAAACUGGCCCAGGUCAGAAAUGGAGCAGGUCAGAACUCCCAGGUAGAUAGGUAGUGGGACUGUGCCUGGGCAACACAGCGGGACCUUGGCUCUUUAAAAAC